UACGUAGGGUGCAAGCGUUGUCCGGAAUUAUUGGGCGUAAAGAGCUCGUAGGCGGUCUGUCGCGUCUGCUGUGAAAACUCGGGGCUUAACCCCGGGCCUGCAGUGGGUACGGGCAGACUAGAGUGCGGUAGGGGAGACUGGAAUUCCUGGUGUAGCGGUGAAAUGCGCAGAUAUCAAGGAGGAACACCGGUGGCGAAGGCGGGUCUCUGGGCCGAUACUGACGCUGAGACACGAAAGCGUGGGGAGCAAACAGG
rnacentral:rRNA from 1 species